rnacentral:rRNA from 1 species
AAUGAACGCUGGCGGCAUGCCUAACACAUGCAAGUCGAACGAUCCCUUCGGGGAUAGUGGCGCACGGGUGCGUAACGCGUGGGAAUCUGCCCUUGGCUUCGGAAUAACAGUUAGAAAUGACUGCUAAUACCGGAUGAUGUCUUCGGACCAAAGAUUUAUCGGCCAGGGAUGAGCCCGCGUAGGAUUAGGUAGUUGGUGAGGUAAAGGCUCACCAAGCCGACGAUCCUUAGCUGGUCUGAGAGGAUGAUCAGCCACACUGGGACUGAGACACGGCCCAGACUCCUACGGGAGGCAGCAGUGGGGAAUAUUGGACAAUGGGCGCAAGCCUGAUCCAGCAAUGCCGCGUGAGUGAUGAAGGCCUUCGGGUCGUAAAGCUCUUUUACCAGGGAUGAUAAUGACAGUACCUGGAGAAUAAGCUCCGGCUAACUCCGUGCCAGCCGCCGCCGUAA